GGAUCACACAGAUUUCUGUCUCCCUGGCCGAGUGGUUCUUAACAGUUCAACAGUUCUCUAUCGAAAUUGUGAAAUGUUUAGGACCACUUGAUCCGGGUGACUCUCUCUGCCAAGGGUGCA
rnacentral:pre_miRNA from 14 species